CCUACGGGAGGCAGCAGUGGGGAAUAUUGCACAAUGGGGGAAACCCUGAUGCAGCGACGCCGCGUGAGUGAAGAAGUAUUUCGGUACGGAAAGCUCUAUCAGCAGGGAAGAAAAUGACGGUACCUGACUAAGAAGCCCCGGCUAACUACGUGCCAGCAGCCGCGGUAAUACGUAGGGGGCAAGCGUUAUCCGGAUUUAUUGGGUUUAAAGGGUGCGCAGGCGGAAGAUCAAGUCAGCGGUAAAAUUGGGAGGCUCAACCUCUUCGAGCCGUUGAUACUGGUUUUCUUGAGUGAGCGAGAGGUAUGCGGAAUGCGUGGUGUAGCGGUGAAAUGCAUAGAUAUCACGCAGAACCCCGAUUGCGAAGGCAGCAUACCGGCGCUCAACUGACGCUCAUGCACGAAAGUGUGGGUAUCGAACAGGAUUAGAUACCCCAGUAGUC
rnacentral:rRNA from 1 species